CUUUGUUACAUUGCUUACACACAUUAUUUAUACAUGAAAAAUACUAAUGUAAGUAUAAUUUUAAACCGUAGAAACAUUUUAGGACGUGUACAUUGUUUCACUAUCUUUUUAAAUUCAAGAAUGUUGUUCUCUAUAUUCUUAAAUGUCGUUAUUUAAGCUAGUUUUAAGACAUCAUAAACCCACAGAUGCAACUACAGUGAAACAUAGCAUGCAACCGUAGGGCGCUUUCCAUUUAAUAGCGAGACCGGUCAGACCAGAAUUUCUCUCUCUGUAUUAAUGGUAAGAUCUGGUUCAGACAAAAAUCUAGUGAAAAUGGGUUUCUGUCAAAAUUGAUCCAAAUUUUCGGAUUAGAUUGGCCCGAAGUCCCAAUGUAGUAUUGUGUUCCAUUCAACAUUUGACCGUUCUGACAGGUCUCGCUGUGUUAAUGGAAAGCGCCCGUAGAUCAUUGUAAUGUAAUUUUAACAUACGUCUAUACAACUAUUGUAACUGCGUCAAACAUUAAACAUACAACCGUAGGCCAAAUCAUUGAAGCUAACGGUCCACACUAGGAACUCUAGAAAAUAUAAAUGAUACAUUGAAAUCAAUUACGAACGUGGACUUGAUAAUUCAGAAAAAAAAACUUAAGGAGGCUCCGUACAGUUUUCCUGAGGCGUAUUAGCCGAAUUAUUCAGACGUCAUUCUCGCGACCCGCGCGUACAAUAUUCGUACCACAAGAUGUGUCACC